ACAGAGGGGGCAAGCGUUGCUCGGAAUCACUGGGCGUAAAGGGCGCGUAGGCGGGAUGGCAAGUCAGUCGUGAAAUCUCUCGGCUCAACCGAGAAACGUCGGCUGAUACUGCCGUUCUUGAGGGAUGCAGAGGAGACUGGAAUUCCCGGUGUAGCGGUGAAAUGUGUAGAGAUCGGGGGGAACACCGGUGGCGAAGGCGGCUGCCUGGGGUAUUGCUGACGCUGAGGAACGAAGGCCAGGGGAGCGAACGGGA
rnacentral:rRNA from 1 species